rnacentral:lncRNA from 1 species
CCUCCUCCUCCUCCGACUUCGAAUUCACCGUCUCCAUCUCCCCCCGCAAAUCCACCACCAAUCUCAUCCCCGCCGACCAGCUCUUCUACAAAGGCCAGCUCCUCCCUCUCCAUCUCUCUCCCCGUCUCUCUAUGGUCCGCACUCUCCUCCUCGCAUCCUCCUCCACCUCCUCUUCCGACACCACCACCACCGCCUCCCGCCACUCCACCGCCAGCUCCUCCUCCGACUUCCCCGACUCCCGCGACUCCUCCCGCCGCCCCAGCUCCGUCACCGACGACGACACUUCCAACUCACAACCCCUCACGCGCCUCCUCAACACCUCCCCAACCUCCGCCAAAAAACCCAAAUAUUUCUCCC